CUUUGGGGCUGCACUCUCGUGAAGAAAACCCUGUGAAGAGCUUUUGCCCUUUAACUAGAAAAAUGUGCCAAGACUGGAACAGUAGCCCAGCACCCUGCAUCAUAGAGAAAGAAUCUGGCCUCAGGAAAGGAUCUGAAGUCAUCAGAAACUAAAAAGAAGGUAGACAUUUACUGCCUCUUGGUCAUUUAGCACCCCUUCUCCACUCUUCUCAUUCUUUUCUUUGGAGAAUUAUCUUUUCCCCAUUGUAUGCAGUUCUACUGGGGUGCUAAAGCUAGGUACUUUCACUUCUAUUUCUUCCACUAGAUUCCAUUAGGCCUUGAAGUUUAAGGAAAAUGCUACUUGGAACAAAUAAAAUUUAAACAAAGGAGAAGAGUCCAGGUGAAGGCUGUAUACUGUCAAUGGUCAUUUCUAAUAAUGGCCUUGAUCCCUGGUAACUAAAAAUAGAGGUUGAAAGC